CCUACGGGAGGCUGCAGUGGGGAAUAUUGGACAAUGGGCGAAAGCCUGAUCCAGCCAUGCCGCGUGUGUGAAGAAGGCCUUCGGGUUGGAAAGCACUUUCAGUGGGGAAGAAAGCCUUGGGGCUAAUACCCUCGAGGAAGGACAUCACCCACAGAAGAAGCACCGGCUAACUCCGUGCCAGCAGCCGCGGUAAUACGGAGGGUGCGAGCGUUAAUCGGAAUUACUGGGCGUAAAGCGCGCGUAGGCGGUCUGAUAAGCCGGUUGUGAAAGCCCCGGGCUCAACCUGGGAACGGCAUCCGGAACUGUCAGGCUAGAGUGCAGGAGAGGAAGGUAGAAUUCCCGGUGUAGCGGUGAAAUGCGUAGAGAUCGGGAGGAAUACCAGUGGCGAAGGCGGCCUUCUGGACUGACACUGACGCUGAGGUGCGAAAGCGUGGGUAGCAAACAGGAUUAGAUACCCGAGUAGUC
rnacentral:rRNA from 1 species